rnacentral:tRNA from 1 species
GUUUAAAUAAUUUAAAAAAAAAUAUUGGUCUUGUAAACCAAAUUUAAGGAAACUUUUUAAACU